AGGAGCUUAGGAUAGCAGCCCAGUCCAAGGGCCUUCAAAGCCCUCAGCGAGGGUGAAAAUCCCUCAGCUCCUG
rnacentral:tRNA from 1 species